UACGGAGGGGGUUAGCGUUGUUCGGAAUUACUGGGCGUAAAGCGCGCGUAGGCGGAUUAGAAAGUUGGGGGUGAAAUCCCGGGGCUCGACCUCGGAACUGCCUCCAAAACUGCUAGUCUAGAGUUCGAGAGAGGUGAGUGGAAUUCCGAGUGUAGAGGUGAAAUUCGUAGAUAUUCGGAGGAACACCAGUGGCGAAGGCGGCUCACUGGCUCGAUACUGACGCUGAGGUGCGAAAGUGUGGGGAGCAAACAGG
rnacentral:rRNA from 1 species